ACUCCUACGGGAGGCAGCAGUGGGGAAUAUUGCACAAUAGGCGCAAGCCUGAUGCAGCCAUGCCGCGUGUGUGAAAGAAGGCCUUCGGGUUGUAAAGCACUUUCAGUUGUGAGGAAAGGUUAGUCGCUAAUAUCGGCUAGCUGUGACGUUAGCAACAGAAGAAGCACCGGCUAACUCCGUGCCAGCAGCCGCGGUAAUACGGAGGGUGCGAGCGUUAAUCGGAAUUACUGGGCGUAAAGCGCGUGUAGGUGGCUUGUUAAGCCAGAUGUGAAAGCCCGGGCUCAACCUGGGAACUGCAUUUGGAACUGGCAGGCUAGAGUUUUGUAGAGGGUGGUAGAAUUUCAGGUGUAGCGGUGAAAUGCGUAGAGAUCUGAAGGAAUACCAGUGGCGAAGGCGGCCCCUGGACAAAGACUGACGCUCAGAAUGCGAAAGCGUGGGGAGCAAACAGGAUUAGAUACCCUGGUAGACUGUC
rnacentral:rRNA from 1 species